CCAACACCUUAAAGGACAAUUGGAUCUCAAAAUAUGAAAGACCCCUCAUUCAAUAAAGCAACAGGAUUGGCUCUGAGGAGCGGUAAGCAACAUUUGAUGAAGGAAACAGGCAGCGUGGACAGUAUUCAAGACACAAUGUUUAAAAGUUGCUGCUGGGAUGGAAGCAAAGAAGAAAGCCCUGGAGAUGGGUUAGUGCUGGGACACAGGCACUAUCCUGGAGGGGCCUGGGACAGGGUGUUUAACCAUAGUGACCAGUGGGUCCUUUCCCCACUGUGGUCCUGGCUCGCAUGCACAGGGUGAAACCGAUCGCCAUGUUUGGGGUCAGGAAGGAAUUUUCCUCCAGGGCAGAUUGGCCAGAGACCCUGGAGGUUUUUCGCCUUCCUCUGGGGCAUCGAGCAGGGACCAGCCCUUAGGGCCAUUUAGGAACAGACAUAAUAAAAUCAAUCAGAGAGAA